AUCCUUUCGUAAUUCAUAAGCAUGAUGAUUGCGGGUUCACACUGUUGUGUGACAAGUGCCUCCCUCAAACCUUGUUAUGACCUUGGCACAUUACCCAUCUGACG
ensembl:snoRNA